rnacentral:lncRNA from 1 species
UCAAAUAUAGUGAUAUGUGGAUAGGGGGGCAAAAAAACUGUUUUCAUAAGUUUAAAAAAAUAAUUGCUCCAUUGUCCGACCAUCCAGCAAAUUUUUCUCCUGAGAUUUUAAGUCAGUAAUUUUGACAUUUACCAAGACAUGGUCAAAGAUACAGAUUUCACAACAGAUCAAUUGAACUUUGUUUGCUAGCCCGAAUCUGAUUGUAUGACCAGUCUUAGCAGCAGGCAUGCAUAUAGGAGAGAGCUGAUGCUAGUAAGAUAAAAUUUGCCCCCACCAUACAGUUCUUUCCAUUUUCCAUCCAUACAUCCACCUACACCCAUGCAUCGACCAAUAUUAACUGAUACAAUUUCUGUUUCCCCACCUAAAGAACUCAACUCUUGACCAUAAUUGUUCGAUACAAUGAUGACAAUCAAUAUGCAAGCAAAUUUUAAAACAAAAAAAGAUAAUAAUCCUAUAACAAGGAUACAUCAUCGAAUGAAAACAUGGGGUCAAUCGACUUCUGUCCUCCAAAUUAACUGCCUUCGAAAAAGAUAGCACCCAUAUAGUAAGUUCCAUUUAACAAAUC